AGACUCAACUAGAGCAAAUAACUCAUAUCCGUAGAGCAAAUAACUCAUAUUCCUAGAGUUUAUCAUUGGUGUAAGCUUCAAUAGGUUAGUGCGCUUGGCGAAUUCACAGGCCCUAUCUUGUGGUAUGAACUGGGUACGCGAUGAUUUGCACUGCGUAUUGGGGGCUUACCAUAAGAUAAUGCCAUGAAUUUGUCAAGCGUUCAAACCCACUGAAAUGUUGUGUGAAGGUAAAUAUUUCAAAGUGUUCAUGAAGAAAAGGCAGGUAAAUAUUUCGUUACUUCCCCGUGACAUGCUAAGCCAGAAACAAUCUCGCUGCAUGUGAUAUGCUCAGCCAGAAACAGAAACAAAAGAGAAAAAGAGAGUGAUUCUUCCCAGCUUUUUUCAUGUGUUGUCUGGUUAGAGCCUACUCGUUGAGUGCCUAUAAAAGGAACGUUACGAACGAAAGAAGCAGACUCAAGAAUAGUAUAUCAUUGGUGUAAGCUUCAAUAGGUUAGUGUACUUUGCGAAUUCACAGGCCCUAUAUUGUGGUAUGAACUGAGUACGCGAUGAUUUAUGGUGCAUAUUGGGGGCUUACCAUAAGAUAAUGCCAUGAAUUCGCAAAGUGUUCAAACCCACUAAAGUGUUAUGUAAAGGUAAAUAUUUGUAAGUAUUCGGGAUGGAAAGGCAGGUAAAUAUUUAAAGUUUAUUAAUUUAGAAAUGUAGCUGAGACAUUAGAAAGUUUUAACACACAACAUUACAUAUUAGUUUGAAUGAGCAAAAUAUAAAAGCGUUCUACUCAUUAGCCUCAUCAUCGAAAUUUCGUGACGUGUUAGUGUCCUUUUUCUUUCCCUUUCUUCUAGCACCGGUUGGAGGUCUGCAUCCUGACAAAGAUAAUCUUUUAGGUGAAUGUCGCUCGCGGACAGACCUACGGACCACCUCAACACCGCUGAGAUCAACGUGGCCGUAGUUUUGGGUCGCUGAGUUACUGGUGGCGAUUCAUCAAGCUGUGACGGUCCUAUCUCGUGUUGUGCUGUUGACGACCCCCCACCGUAGCUAUAUGGUUCUCCGUAGGACUAUGUGCUGCCAGCAUAUCCCAUCAUUUGUUCAGGGUUGUACAUUCCUACAAAACAUUGAAUGCAAAGUUGUAGCGUACACACAUAAUGGAAAUAAAAUAUUUUGUAGUAAAUUAUAAUUUGUACCU
rnacentral:sRNA from 1 species